GUGCUGUAAAAAACUUUUUAGAAUAUCACAACUUUCAAUGUGGAGAAUGAAUGACGAAUUACAAGACACGUAUUCCCUAGCUGUUACGUGGUGUGAAUAAUUCUGCAUUAAAAUCGAGUCUGAGUAACUUCUGCAGCGCUUUUUGGUUUCCUGAGUCUUCGUAUCAAACUUCUGCAUAUAGUUUUCAUGUGCCCGAGUGUGUAAAAUGUUUUGCCCAUGUUAUCCUAUUUGAUUUGAUCACCUUAAUAAAAUUUACUGAUAUCAGAAUUACAACAUCGAAAAUAAAUAUGACACAUCAAAUCAUA